rnacentral:tRNA from 1 species
AUUAUUUUGGCAGAAUAGUGCGUUAGAUUUAGAAUCUAUUUAUGUAUAAUUAAUACAAAUAAUA